rnacentral:lncRNA from 1 species
AAAAAGGGAAAUUACAUGUUUACCACUUUCAUACUACCACUUUUCAUUUUUACCACCACUAAAGGGACAUUUUCAAAAACAUCUUCUUCAUUAAGUGGCAAAAGACUCUUAUGUCCUUGUUCUUUAUAUAUAUAAUAAAUAAACAUUUAAAUAAAUAAAAAUAAAAAAAAAACAAAAAUAAUUUUUUUAAGUUUUUUUUUGAAUUAUACUAUUUCGAAAUUUAAACCCUAAAACUCAACUCUAAACCCUAAACCAUCAAUCCUAAACCCUAUUUUUUUAAAAUACGAACACUAAACCCUGAAAGAUGAACUCUAAACCUUAAACCCCGAAACAUCAACUCUAAACCCUAAACUCUAAACCUUCAGCUCUAAACCCUAAAACAUCAACUUUAAACCCUAAACCCUAAACUUCAACUCUAAACCCUAAACCAUCAACACUAAACCCUAAACUAUCAACACUAAACCCUAAACCCUAAACCCUAAACCCUAAACCCUAAA